GCUCCCUUAGCUCAGUUGGUAGAGUGACGGACUGUUAAUCCGGCUGUCGCUGGUUCGAGUCCAGCAGGGAGCGCCA
rnacentral:tRNA from 1 species